GCCCAUGUGGUUUAGUGGUUUGAAUGUUGGACUACAACUCUGGGGACCAGGGUUGAUUCCCUGCUUGGUCA